GCUGAACCAACGCCCAAACCAACAACAGAACCACAACCUUCUGCACCAGCAACACCAGCAAAGCAAACAGCAGAUGCCCAAGCUGCCAAGCGCGAAGCCUCUGUCCGGACUGUUACUUUUGAGGCAGGCCCUCCCAAAACCGAACCAGCAGCAACAAAAGCUCCACAACCUGCAACAGCAGUCAGUCCCCAGGCUCCUGCAGGUCCCACCAUUCCUCCUGCAGUGGUCCCUUUAACGACUGAGCCAGUACCAAAACCAACAACAGAACC